GGAUAUGGCUCAGUUUGGUAGAGCGCUGCGUUCGGGACGCAGAGGUCGCAGGUUCAAAUCCUGUUAUCC
rnacentral:tRNA from 1 species